rnacentral:rRNA from 1 species
AGUGAACGCUGGCGGUAGGCCUAACACAUGCAAGUCGAACGGCAGCACAGUAAGAGCUUGCUCUUACGGGUGGCGAGUGUCGGACGGGUGAGGAAUACAUCGGAAUCUACUUUUUCGUGGGGGAUAACGUAGGGAAACUUACGCUAAUACCGCAUACGACCUACGGGUGAAAGCAGGGGAUCUUCGGACCUUGCGCGAUUGAAUGAGCCGAUGUCGGAUUAGCUAGUUGGCGGGGUAAAGGCCCACCAAGGCGACGAUCCGUAGCUGGUCUGAGAGGAUGAUCAGCCACACUGGAACUGAGACACGGUCCAGACUCCUACGGGAGGCAGCAGUGGGGAAUAUUGGACAAUGGGCGCAAGCCUGAUACAGCAAUACCGCGUGGGUGAAGAAGGCCUUCGGGUUGUAAAGCCCUUUUGUUGGGAAAGAAAAGCAGCAGGUUAAUACCCCGCUGUUCUGACGGUACCCAAAGAAUAAGCACCGGCUAACUUCGUG